rnacentral:sRNA from 1 species
GUUACCGCCCCUAUACCCGGUAAGGAAAGGGGGUGUCUGACAUGGAAAAUCUUAUUUCUUUUAUUGUCGCUGUUGCGGCUGGUGUAGUUUGCCACUACAUCAUCAAAUGGUUGGACGGCGGCAAAUAGUCGGUAACCAGCCUGCAGAUGCCUAACUGCUUAAAAAGGAAGAAAGCCCCUGAGUCUCGACCACUCAGGGGCUUUCGCUUUUGUG